CUUGGUCCUUCUGUUUCAAUAACAUGUAGAUGCACUGGUGUCACCAGUGUUUGGGGCCUUGUGGCUUUGGUAGCAGCCAAGCAUGCUCAUUGCUAUUGUUCAGUGCAGUCUAAUUGUUUGAAAAGUCAGUAAUUCAUCAGUUUACAACCUACUUGGUGGACCAGGGAAAUGAGAUGGAAGAACCCUGCCAUCAGUUGCUGUAAACAGACAUACGUUUUGUUCUGCUCCAGCUCUCUGUGUAGUCCUAAGUAAAGUGUUUAUGUCAGCUUCAGUGACUAGUUGAAAAGCCACUGAAUUGGGUCCUCAUCGCAUGCAUAUUUUUAAAUUGGCUUGUGCUGUGGCGCUUCUGAUUGAUUUUAAAGUGGAUCUUGUCUGUGGGUUAGUAGCUCUUAAAUCUGUUUGUGCUAGAAACACCUGAGACUAACUCUCUUCCUACCCUGAACAGUUAAAAGUCCCCCAAGAUGAUUCUGAUGUAGCCAGUUAUCGCCAGUUGGUGGUGACUUUAACAACUUUGGGCCAACAUCUAGUUUUAGUUGUCUGAAAACUUUGUUAUCUUGCAUUAUCUCUAACUUGUUCUAUUUCCAUUUUAGGCUGUACAAAGUUCUUUGGUGAGGGGAGAGGUUUGUGUAUUUUAUCACCAGUAGGAGACUUCCAUAUACUGUGACUAAUGCUGUAUCUUAUUGUCUGUAGGCUUUAGAGAAGGAUUUGUUGUUGUUGUUAAACAUAAAAUACAAAGGCAGUAAUGAUGCAAAGAAGUUAAUACAUAAUCUAUAAUAAAAUCAUUAAUUUAUAUGUGGACAUGGCCUGUGUGAAUUAAAUGUU
rnacentral:lncRNA from 1 species